ensembl:antisense Pmepa1os prostate transmembrane protein, androgen induced 1, opposite strand
GUAGACCGGUCGCCGGCGCUGCGUAGACCCAGCGCCCUCGAGACUCCGCAGGCCCGGUCCGCGGGAGCCCCCGUGCCUGCGGCGGUCACAACACAGAACAAGAAUCAAGACGAAAACCAGAGAAAGUGUUCGGUUCAGCUAAGCACAGCGGUGAAGGCUCAGGAAGACGGAGCCUAAGUUCUGCACAGCCUGAUGGAGUACCUGUCCCUGCCCACGAGGGAUCCAAGGACUUUAAGGGGCUGUGUCCCUUGUCAUUAAAGAAGGGGAAAGCUUUCACAGGUUUUUGUUAUUUAUUUUUAAUAGACUGGUGAAUAGGUGAAGCUGAGAGAAUAGUUUUCAGAGCAGCCCAGGAAGUGGGUUCCUCUGCCUAACCUUCCGUGACCUUCCUGGAGGAGCCACCGCGGAGCCCAGUGUCCUCCCAGAGGGAGGUUCCAAGGUGGCAACUGUGUCUCUUCCCCACGAGUGCGGGGCCCCAGCCUCACAGUCUUUCAAGAUUGGCUAGUUUUAAAUGGAUCUUGGCAAAGGAAAGGAAGGCUCAGCUGCAUCAGGACUGUUCAGUUCUGGGAAGGGGUUGGCGGGAUGCUUUGCAAAAUCAAAAGGUGGGGGAGAUUUACAAAAACAUUUUGUAAGUUGGAGGAAUUUAAAGGUUUGAAUUCCUUUGCAUAAAAGUUCCUACAAGG